UACGUAGGGUGCGAGCGUUAAUCGGAAUUACUGGGCGUAAAGCGUGCGCAGGCGGUUGUGCAAGACAGAUGUGAAAUCCCCGGGCUUAACCUGGGAACUGCAUUUGUGACUGCACGGCUAGAGUGUGUCAGAGGGGGGUAGAAUUCCACGUGUAGCAGUGAAAUGCGUAGAUAUCGGGAGGAAUACCGAUGGCGAAGGCAGGUCUCUGGGCUAUAACUGACGCUCAUGCACGAAAGCGUGGGGAGCAAACAGG
rnacentral:rRNA from 1 species